AUUGAACGCUGGCGGCAGGCCUAACACAUGCAAGUCGAACGCGUGGCGGACGGGUGAGUAAUGUCUGGGAACCUGCCUGAUGUAGGGGGAUCACUACUGGACACGGUAGCUAAUACCGCAUACCAUCGGAAGUGCCCAGAUGGGUUUAGAUAGUGGGUGGGGUAAAGGCUCACCUAGGCGACGAUCCCUAGCUGGUCUGAGAGGAGGACCAGGCACACUGGAACUGAGAUAAGGUCCAGACUCCUACUGGAGGGAGGAGUGGGGAAUAGUGCACAAGGGGCGCAAGGCUGGUGUAGCCAUGCCGAGUGUAGGAAGAAGGCAUGCGGGUUGGAAAGGACUUUCAGCGGGGAGGCGUUACUCGCAGAAGAAGCACCGGCUAACUCCGUGCCAGCAGCCGCGGUAAUAC
rnacentral:rRNA from 1 species